ACGGCUCAGUAACACGUGGACAACCUACCCUGUGGAAGGGGAUAACCCCGGGAAACUGGGGAUAAUACCCUAUAGACUAUGGAUGCUGGAAUGCUCUGUAGCCGAAAGGUCCGCCGCCACAGGAUGGGUCUGCGGCCGAUUAGGUUGUUGUUGGGGUAACGGCCCAACAAGCCUGUAAUCGGUACGGGUUGUGGGAGCAAGAGCCCGGAGAUGGAUUCUGAGACACGAAUCCAGGCCCUACGGGGCGCAGCAGGCGCGAAAACUUUGCAAUGCGGGAAACCGUGACAAGGGAACUCUGAGUGCCCGUAAAAUCGGGCUGUCCAUCGGUUUAAAUAACCGGUGAAGAAGGGGCCGGGCAAGACCGGUGCCAGCCGCCGCGGUGAUACCGGCGGCUCGAGUGGUGGCCACUAUUACUGGGCUUAAAGCGUUCGUAGCUGGUUUGUUAAGUCUCUGGGGAAAUCUUCCGGCUUAACCGGAAGGCGUCUCAGGGAUACUGGCAGACUAGGGACCGGGAGAGGUGAGAGGUACUCCAGGGGUAGGAGUGAAAUCCUGUAAUCCUUGGGGGACCACCUGUGGCGAAGGCGUCUCACCAGAACGGCUCCGACAGUGAGGGACGAAAGCUGGGGGAGCAAACCGGAUUAGAUACCCGGGUAGUCCCAGCUGUAAACGAUGCGCGUUAGGUGUAUCAGUGACCACGAGUCACUGAGGUGCCGAAGAGAAAUCGUGAAACGUACCGCCUGGGGAAGUACGGUCGCAAGGCUGAAACUUAAAGGAAUUGGCGGGGGAGCAC
rnacentral:rRNA from 1 species